rnacentral:rRNA from 1 species
CCUACGGGAGGCAGCAGUAGGGAAUAUUGCUCAAUGGGGGAAACCCUGAAGCAGCAACGCAGCGUGGAGGAUGAAGGUUUUCGGAUUGUAAACUCCUUUUGUUAGAGAAGAUAAUGACGGUAUCUAACGAAUAAGCACCGGCUAACUCCGUGCCAGCAGCCGCGGGAAUACGGAGGGUGCAAGCGUUACUCGGAAUCACUGGGCGUAAAGAGCGCGUAGGCGGGAUAGCAAGUCAGAUGUGAAAUCCUAUGGCUUAACCAUAGAACUGCAUUUGAAACUGUUAUUCUAGAGUAUGGGAGAGGUAGGUGGAAUUCUUGGUGUAGGGGUAAAAUCCGUAGAGAUCAAGAGGAAUACUCAUUGCGAAGGCGACCUGCUAGAACAUAACUGACGCUGAUGCGCGAAAGCGUGGGGAGCAAACAGGAUUAGAUACCCUAGUAGUC